UUGGAGAUUUUUUCUGUUUCUUCUUUUAAUUUUUUUGUUUGCACCCAUGCUGUUGUUUGCUAAAUGUAAUAGUCUGAUUGUGAUGCUGAAUAAAUGUCUUUUUUU